ACGAACGCUGGCGGCGUGCCUAAUACAUGCAAGUCGAACGGUCUUUCUAUGGAAGCUUGCUUCCACUGAGAAGAUAGUGGCGAACGGGUGAGUAACACGUGGGUAACCUGCCCAUAAGAGGGGGAUAACAUCCGGAAACGGGUGCUAAUACCGCAUAGUUUUCUUGAUCGCAUGAUUGAGAAAGGAAGACGGCCUUUGUGCUGUCGCUUAUGGAUGGACCCGCGGCGUAUUAGUUAGUUGGUGAGGUAAUGGCUCACCAAGACGAUGAUACGUAGCCGACCUGAGAGGGUGAUCGGCCACAUUGGGACUGAGACACGGCCCAAACUCCUACGGGAGGCAGCAGUAGGGAAUCUUCCGCAAUGGACGAAAGUCUGACGGAGCAACGCCGCGUGAGUGAAGAAGGUUUUCGGAAUCGUAAAACUCUGUUGUCAGAGAAGAACAAGUUGGAGAGUAACUGCUCCAGCCUUGACGGUAUCUGACCAGAAAGCCACGGCUAACUACGUGCCAGCAGCAGC
rnacentral:rRNA from 1 species